rnacentral:rRNA from 1 species
UGGGGAAUUUUGGACAAUGGGCGAAAGCCUGAUCCAGCAAUGCCGCGUGUGUGAAGAAGGCCUUCGGGUUGUAAAGCACUUUUGUCCGGAAAGAAAUCCUUGGCUCUAAUACAGUCGGGGGGAUGACGGUACCGGAAGAAUAAGCACCGGCUAACUACGUGCCAGCAGCCGCGGUAAUACGUAGGGUGCAAGCGUUAAUCGGAAUUACUGGGCGUAAAGCGUGCGCAGGCGGUUUGCUAAAGACCGAUGUGAAAUCCCCGGGCUCAACCUGGGAACUGCAUUGGUGACUGGCAGGCUAGAGUAUGGCAGAGGGGGGUAGAAUUCCACGUGUAGCAGUGAAAUGCGUAGAGAUGUGGAGGAAUACCGAUGGCGAAGGCAGCCCCCUGGGCCAAUACUGACGCUCAUGCACGAAAGCGU